rnacentral:rRNA from 1 species
GGNAGCUUGCUUCUCUUGAUCAGUGGCGAACGGGUGAGUAACACGUGAGUAACCUGCCCUUGACUCUGGGAUAACUCCGGGAAACCGGGGCUAAUACUGGAUAUGAAGCGCCCCGGCAUCGGGUGUGCUUGGAAAGUUUUUCGGUCAAGGAUGGACUCGCGGCCUAUCAGCUUGUUGGCGGGGUAACGGCCCACCAAGGCGUCGACGGGUAGCCGGCCUGAGAGGGCGACCGGCCACACUGGGACUGAGACACGGCCCAGACUCCUACGGGAGGCAGCAGUGGGGAAUAUUGCACAAUGGGCGAAAGCCUGAUGCAGCGACGCCGCGUGAGGGAUGAAGGCCUUCGGGUUGUAAACCUCUUUCAGUAGGGAAGAAGCGAAAGUGACGGUACCUGCAGAAGAAGCGCCGGCUAACUACGUGCCAGCAGCCGCGGUAAUACGUAGGGCGCAAGCGUUGUCCGGAAUUAUUGGGCGUAAAGAGCUCGUAGGCGGUUUGUCGCGUCUGGUGUGAAAACUCAAGGCUCAACCUUGAGCUUGCAUCGGGUACGGGCAGACUAGAGUGCGGUAGGGGUGACUGGAAUUCCUGGUGUAGCGGUGGAAUGCGCAGAUAUCAGGAGGAACACCGAUGGCGAAGGCAGGUCACUGGGCCGCAACUGACGCUGAGGAGCGAAAGCAUGGGGAGCGAACAGGAUUAGAUACCCUGGUAGUCCAUGCCGUAAACGUUGGGCACUAGGUGUGGGGCUCAUUCCACGAGUUCCGUGCCGCAGCAAACGCAUUAAGUGCCCCGCCUGGGGAGUACGGCCGCAAGGCUAAAACUCAAAGGAAUUGACGGGGGCCCGCACAAGCGGCGGAGCAUGCGGAUUAAUUCGAUGCAACGCGAAGAACCUUACCAAGGCUUGACAUACACCGGAAUCGGCCAGAGAUGGUCGCGUCUUCGGACUGGUGUACAGGUGGUGCAUGGUUGUCGUCAGCUCGUGUCGUGAGAUGUUGGGUUAAGUCCCGCAACGAGCGCAACCCUCGUCCUAUGUUGCCAGCACGUUAUGGUGGGGACUCAUAGGAGACUGCCGGGGUCAACUCGGAAGAAGGNGGG